UACGUAGGAGGCAAGCGUUGUCCGGAGUACUGGGCGUAAAGCGCACGCAGGCGGUCGCAUCAGUCUGGGGUGACAGUUCCCGGCUUAACCGGAAAAGGACUCUGGAAACUGUGCGACUUGAGGGCUUCAGAGGGAUGUGGAAUUCCAGGUGGAGUGGUGAAAUGCGCAGAUAUCAGGAGGAACACCGAUGGCGAAGGCAGGUCUCUGGGCCACUACUGACGCUGAGAAGCGAAAGCAUGGGGAGCGAACAGG
rnacentral:rRNA from 1 species